AGUUUCAAUUCAUGAAUGCAACAAUACAAUCCAUCACACAUUCAUUUAUAACUUAGGCUAAGCAUUACUAUCAUCACUUAUCAUCAGACAAUGCAUUACUUUCAAUCUGUUUUCAGUUCAUGAGCUUCAAACAAUACCAUUUCAUUUAGCAAACUCAUUACUUAACAGGAGCAAGCAUUUUACUCUUUAAACACUAAACAAGCCUUUAAAGCAUACUGGGACAGAUUCAACUAAUUUUAUUUAGCAAUCACACAUUAUCCUCAGGUUUUUCAAUCAAUACACAUCACAAUAACCAGGCACAGUCACACCACAAGCUCAAUAUCAAGAAGGUUUUAAAGUAUCGCUUACACAAGGAACCAGGUUGGUUCCUUAACCUUUCAUGAAACCGGCCAUGCUUUGUUGGUCUUGAGAGUGUGGAUCGUCACCCACCUCUUUCACCUUCUGUUCAUGGCCUCCAUCUUGUACCAUCAGCUUCAAAGACCC
rnacentral:lncRNA from 1 species